UUUACCUACGGGACGCAGCAGUGAGGAAUAUUGGUCAAUGGGCGAGAGCCUGAACCAGCCAAGUCGCGUGAAGGAUGACGGCCCUAUGGGUUGGAAACUUCUUUUGUCAGGGAGCAAUUGAGUCCACGUGUGGGCUUAGCGAGAGUACCUGAAGAAAAAGCAUAGGCUAACUCCGUGCCAGCAGCCGCGGUAAUACGGAGGAUGCGAGCGUUAUCCGGAUUUAUUGGGUUUAAAGGGUGCGUAGGUGGAAGAUCAAGUCAGCGGUAAAAAUUCGGGGCUCAACCC
rnacentral:rRNA from 1 species